rnacentral:rRNA from 1 species
UGGACCUGGCUGAUCUGUCCUCCUAAUCGAGCGUACGGAUUCGGUCGGGUCUUUCCUUCUGGGGAACCCUAUGUCCUUCAUUGGGUGUAGUGGGGAACCAGGACUUUUACCUUGAAAAAAUUAGAGUGUUCAAAGCAGGCCUUUGCUCGAAUACAUUAGCAUGGAAUAAUAGAAUAGGACAUCGGUUCUAUUUUGUUGGUUUCUAGGACCGCUGUAAUGAUUAAUAGGGAUAGUCGGGGGCGUCCGUAUUCAAUUGUCAGAGGUGAAAUUCUUGGAUUUAUUGAAGACGAACUACUGCGAAAGCAUUCGCCAAGGAUGUUUUCAUUAAUCAGUGAACGAAAGUUAGGGGAUCGAAGACGAUCAGAUACCGUCGUAGUCUUAACCAUAAACUAUGCCGACUAGGGAUCGGACGGUGGUUUUUUUAUGCCCCGUUCGGCACC